UCCCCGUUUCACAGGGCGGUCUGAACAGAGAGCGCGACUUGCGUCGCAGCAACAGUUCAUAAGGGUUGCGCUCGUUGCGGGACUUAACCCAACAUCUCACGACACGAGCUGACGACAGCCAUGCAGCACCUGUGCAAAGUGCCCCUUGCGGGGCUCGCUGGCUUUCACCAACUUAGCGAUGCAUGUCAAGCCCAGGUAAGGUUCUUCGCGUUGCAUCGAAUUAAGCCACAUACUCCACCGCUUGUGCGGGCCCCCGUCAAUUUCUUUGAGUUUUAAUCUUGCGACCGUAUUUCCCAGGCGGCGCGUUUAACGCGUUAGCUCCGGCGCGGAGAUUGUCGAAUCCCCCCACACCAAACGCGCACCGUUUACUGCCAGGACUAC
rnacentral:misc_RNA from 1 species